CUAGACUCAAGCACAGCCAGCCCUGCCUCACACGUUAGUGUCGACUCCAGAAGGUUUCUAGAAUCUGCAUAGAUUUGGGUCAUUCCCCGACUACAACUGCCCCUCAGGAGACUGGCCGGGAGCCAAAGUCACGUCAUCGGGCUGCUGGUCAAGGGUGGAGCGGCGGCGACUUGCGGCUUUUCCUCAUGAGCCCCGCCUGGGUGUCCACCUGGCACUCAGCACGAGCACGUCUCUUCCCCCCGGAGCAGCUGCCUGACGCAGAGGCCUGGGCUUCAGAGAGAGCUCCAGGAGCGUUCAAGCCCGGCGCGCUGCCUCCCCGACUCUGUGUGUGUAACGGGCACAGGGCUUGCUUACGGUGGGAUUCAAAUCACGAGUAG
rnacentral:lncRNA from 1 species